rnacentral:misc_RNA from 1 species
GAUGAAGAACGCAGCGAAAUGCGAUAAGUAAUGUGAAUUGCAGAAUUCAGUGAAUCAUCGAAUCUUUGAACGCACAUUGCGCCCGCUAGUAUUCUGGCGGGCAUGCCUGUUCGAACGUCAUUUCAACCAUCAAGCCCCAGGCUUGUGUUGGGGACCUGCGGCUGCCGCAGGCCCAGAAAACCAGUGGCGGGCUCGCUGUCACACCGGGCGUAGUAGAUUUUAUCUCGCUCAGGGCGUGCUGCGGGUUCCGGCCGUUAAAAAGCCUUUUUUACCCAAGGUUGACCUCGGAUCAGGUAGGAAUACCCGCUGAACUUAAGCAUAUCAAUAAGCGGAGGA